rnacentral:rRNA from 1 species
GACGAACGCUGGCGGCGUGCUUAACACAUGCAAGUCGAACGAUGAAGCCUAGCUUGCUAGGUGGAUUAGUGGCGAACGGGUGAGUAAUACGUGAGUAACCUACCUUUAACUCUGGGAUAAGCCCGGGAAACUGGGUCUAAUACCGGAUACGACCAAUCUCCGCAUGGGGUGUUGGUGGAAAGCGUUAUGUAGUGGUUAUAGAUGGGCUCACGGCCUAUCAGCUUGUUGGUGAGGUAACGGCUCACCAAGGCGACGACGGGUAGCCGGCCUGAGAGGGUGACCGGCCACACUGGGACUGAGACACGGCCCAGACUCCUACGGGAGGCAGCAGUGGGGAAUAUUGCACAAUGGGCGCAAGCCUGAUGCAGCGACGCCGCGUGAGGGAUGACGGCCUUCGGGUUGUAAACCUCUGUUAGCAGGGAAGAAGAGAAAUUGACGGUACCUGCAGAGAAAGCGCCGGCUAACUACGUG